rnacentral:rRNA from 1 species
GACGAACGCUGGCGGCGUGCUUAACACAUGCAAGUCGAACGAUGAACCCGGAGCUUGCUCCGGUGGAUUAGUGGCGAACGGGUGAGUAACACGUGAGUAACCUGCCCUUGACUCUGGGAUAACUGCGGGAAACUGUAGCUAAUACCGGAUACGACCCUCGGCGGCAUCGCCAGGGGGUGGAAAGAAUUUCGGUCAAGGAUGGACUCGCGGCCUAUCAGCUAGUUGGUGAGGUAACGGCUCACCAAGGCGACGACGGGUAGCCGGCCUGAGAGGGUAACCGGCCAUACUGGGACUGAGACACGGCCCAGACUCCUACGGGAGGCAGCAGUGGGGAAUAUUGCACAAUGGGCGAAAGCCUGAUGCAGCAACGCCGCGUGAGGGAUGACGGCCUUCGGGUUGUAAACCUCUUUUAGUAGGGAAGAAGCGAAAGUGACGGUACCUGCAGAAAAAGCACCGGCUAACUACGUGCCAGCCGCCGCGGUAA